rnacentral:lncRNA from 1 species
UUUAAGCAAAAAUCCCUCAUUUGUUGAAGUUUUAGGAACCGACGUCGCCUCUGCCCAACUUUUGUCUCUCUCCCCAUCAUCGGCAACCAUCCCAGGUAAUCAACCUCAUAUGGCUCUCCUGCCUUAUCUCUUUUACGGAUUCCGAGUUUUGAUUUUAGUUAGAGAUCUAUGUUUUGGGGAAGGAUUUUCGGCCCUUGUAAGUUUCUAUCUUUAUUUAAUAAGAUUCAAGAACAAGAUAUUCAAUUAUCGUCAUUCCUAAUUGACUGCCUUAUUUGCCAAUUUUUAUCUUUGUUUUUUGUUUUGAAAAUUUUAAUUAAUAUUACAUUACUUCAAUUUUGAGUUUUGGGUGGAUCAUUACGAUUUAUUUGCAAAGUUGUAAUCGACAUUUUUUUCCACCUUUAUGCUUGUGAACUGAUUAUAUGACGCAUGAUAGACUUACGAACUAUUAUUGUUUCUGUUAAACUCUAUUUUCAAUUUUUAAUUUGGUCUUUGUAUCUGCUAAAUGUACUACAGCACUUUGCUAAUAUGAUAUGUUGGACACUGAGAAGAUUAAUGUUAGAACUGUAUUUUUAAAUUUAAAUUGGGCGUUCAAGUUUGAGUUCUAUUAGAUGAUUGAUUUUCGACCUGCUUCGGAAUGAGAUAGCAGAUUCAUGUGAAUAACAUGUCGGUUCCGACUAUUAAACUAUGUUGCAUUGCGAUUUUCGGUAGUCCAAUGUUUCAUUGAGAUUUUAGGUAGUUCACAAUAUGGUUCAAUUAAGAAUAUUAUUCUUUGUCUCUUUUGUAUAGCACUACAGUUGGGAGGAAAUAGUUCAUCAAUGUCCAAAAAAAUUGGAGGGACAUUUUUUUUGGGUUUGGAGGGAAAGCUAAAAUAACAACAAUCUAUUUAAAUUAGUGAUUUUUAGUGACAAUUUAUUAUUAUUGUCACUAAAUGAAUAUUUUUUGGUGGUUAAAGGACAUGUGCCGCUAAUAUUUCAGAGUAAAGAAUGUAUUAGCGAUAGUUGACUUAUUGCCACUAAAUAAUUAUCGCCAAAGGCCUUUUUUGUAGUAGUGUUAGACUCUCCACAAUUUCAAGAUUAGUUACAUCAGCACAUAACUCCAUUCUCUGUUGUUGUGAUAGCAUUGGGCCAUUGGCCAUAUACGGUCUGUUUAUAGUAGGCAGAUAUGCAGUUGUUGAGCCCAUUAGAGACUUGUAAAAUCCUAUAAUCUCCCUUUUAUGUCUGCAGGUGCACUUACUUUUACUCCCAUUGCAUUUGUAAGUUCUGUGAUCUGCUUCCUUUGUGUUCUUUGUUUCAUAACUGCAGUAAAGUACCUGGUAUUAGGAUCUCCAAGUUGAAUCCACUUUGCUAUUUCCUUCUGCUGUAAUACACUUUCUUCAAUCAAUGACCACAUUUCCAGCUUCAAUACUAUGCCCUUGCCAUUUGUUCUUGAACUUCUUUCAGUUCUUGUCUGGUAUGCUCUAUCUUCUGAGUAAUACUCUUAAACUCCUUUACAUUUAAGGCCUUUAAAGGGCCUUUCAAUCCUUUGAUUUUUGUCCAUAUUGUUUUCAUUGAUCCAGGAUUGGUAGAGUACCAGGUAUUUGCCACAAAAGAAAACUCAUCAUACUCAGCCCAUAUAUUAAAGAAUUUGAAAGGUACCUUACCCUUCCAAGAAGAUGCUGCUAGAGUCAUUAUCAUAGGGUUAUGGUCAGAGAUUAGUGGUUGAUCAUAAACUAUCUCCACAUAGCUCCACUUGAUCAUCUACUCAUAGUUCCCAAAUACUCUGUCCAGUAUGCUACAUACUCUAUCUGCUUCAGGCUGUUUGUUUGUCCAAGAAUAGUAAUCACCCUUCCAAUUUGAAUCCAUCACCCAUAUUUCUCGUGGUAACUCUUUAGUGACAUUAAUUUCUAUAAGCAUUCGAGCAUAUGAGACUCUAGUCUGUUUGGUUGUGCAUUCAUUCGCAAAAAUAGGUUUCCCUAGGACACUUGUAAUCCUACUUAAUGAUCUCAUUCCCCAACAGGACAUAGGAAUCUUGGGAAACUUAACCCAUAGAGGAAUACCAGUAGGAAAUUCCUCUGUGAUAUCAAAAUCUUGAGUUCAUUGUUUGAGAAUCAUAGGCCUUUUAGCUAUAGAAUAAGGCCCUGCACAUAGAAUUUCCUUAGCAUCUUCCAUUGUUUUGAACUUAACUAUGUAAUUACCUUUCUCAUGAUAAAAUAAGUAUGGUUAUGGAACAUAUGACCAGUGAAGGUUAAUAAAUCUCUUUAUCGCAUUGAAACCAGGUCCAUACCCUAAAAUAAAUACAUAAUUAAAGAACAUUUCCACUUCUUCUCUUCCUCUUCUAACUCUAAUUUGUUCAAUUGCACUAUUGGUCGCCCAUCAACCAUUAGAGGCGGUAUGUAAUCUAGAGCCAUACCAUUUGUUGCAAAUCUAUUUUUCUGAAAGAGGGUAGACCAAGCCUGUUUGGGUUCUUCAGUUCUGUUUCUGAUGACCUCAGGGUUCUCUGUUACUUCUAUCACUAAUUGUACUUGGACCUGCACUGGACUCUACAUGUUUACUGCUCCAUUGGUAUCCUUCUUCGUCAGAUUUGGUUUUCCUCCAAUCUGAGCUGGGGAAGUCAGAUCCAGCUUCUUUGAGACUGUAGACUGGUGCGAUGUCGACCCAAUUGAAUCUCUCGCAGCUGCAAUUGAUGAAUCUGAGCUCUGCACAGUUGGUGUCAUGGUUACUACUUUCUCCAUAGUUGGUUGAUUAAUUGUUGUUAUCAUGUUCUCAAUAGCUGCUAAUGGUACCUUACGUGAUCGUCCUCUACCUCUGGCUCUCCCUCUCGCCAUGUCUACAAGCUCGGCGUACGUUUAACUAACAUGCGCCGAGAGCAUUUUGAGAAGAAGCAAAGUAACCUCAGUAUAUAAUCAUGACAUAUUUAAGACCAUAUACUUUAAGUUUUUUUAUCUUUUAACCCUCAUACGCGAUUAAACGUCGUUAUAUCUCUU